GCGUUGUCCGGAUUUACUGGGUGUAAAGGGUGCUCAGGCGGGUUUGUAAGUCAGUGGUGAAUCCCGGAGCUUAACUCCGGAACUGCCAUUGAUACUGCAAGCCUAGAGAUCGGGAGAGGUUGAUGGAAUAUCUGGUGUAGCAGUGAAAUGCGUAGAUAUCAGAUAGAACACCAAUGGCGAAGGCAGUCAACUGGCCCGAUUCUGACGCUAAAGCACGAAAGUGUGGGUAGCAAACAGGAUUAGAUACCCUGGUAGUCCACACCCUAAACGAUGAGUACUAGACGUUGAGCCUUUUAAGGCCCAGUGUCUGAGCUAACGCAUUAAGUACUCCACCCGGGAAGUACGAUCGCAAGGUUGAAACUCAAAGGAAUUGACGGGGGCCCGCACAAGCAGUGGAGCAUGUGGUUUAAUUCGAUGCAACGCGAAGAACCUUACCUAGGCUUGAAACGCAGGUUAAAACUGAUGAAAGUCAGUGUGCCGCAAGGCGAACUUGUACAGGUGCUGCAUGGCUGUCGUCAGCUCGUGCCGUGAGGUGUUGGGUUAAGUCCCGCAACGAGCGCAACCCCUUUCCUUAGUUGCCACCAGGUAAUGCUGAGCACUCUAAGGAGACUGCCUACGCAAGUAGUGAGGAAGGUGGGGACGACGUCAAGUCCGCAUGGCCCUUACGCUUAGGGCAACACACGUGCUACAAUGGCCACUACAAAGGGCUGCAAUACCGCGAGGUGGAGCCAAUCCCUAAAAAGUGGUCUCAGUUCGGAUUGGAGUCUGCAACUCGACUUCAUGAAGCUGGAAUUGCUAGUAAUCGCGCAUCAGCUCGGCGCGGUGAAUACGUUCCCGGGCCUUGUACACACCGCCCGUCAAGCCAUGGAAGUUGGGGGUACCCGAAGUCACCUUUAAUAAGUGCCUAAGGUAAAACCAAUGACUGGGGCUAAGUCGUAACAAGGUAGCCGAAG
rnacentral:rRNA from 1 species